AAGAGACUCCAGGGUUGGGGUGGAGCCCUAGAGAGUACUUCAAAUGCGUUAAUUCCAGAGUUUGAAAAAACAUUUGAGACAAAGAUCUGAGGCUUUGUGGAGGAUGUCCAGGGCACAUUCUAGAGAGGAAUGUGUUUAGAAAUAGGACAAAGUCGGGAAGAAUGGCUAUACUUGACCAGAUAGAAAAAAAUGUCUAUCCUCAAGACAAUCUCAUCAGUUUCCUUAGUGGGGAAUGUGCCCUGGCUAAUUGAUUCACAGGGUCACUUUGAAACAAAAAAAUCAAAUGUCAUCCAGACAACUGAUAUAUGUAGCAGUCAGCGAACAGGUUUACAAAACAAACCUGGUUCUAGGCCAUCAGCAGCCAAGGACCCAGAAUUUUGAUCCUUACUCAGUAAAUAUGCUAUUUGGUUUAGAGGAAAUGAAAAACAGGAUGAAAGAGAUAAGACACUUGGUAUCUUUCUGGAGCAGGGGAUCAAGAAAAAAAUGAAGUAAGAGUGAGGAUUGGCUGGAGGAGACUGGAAGACAAUCAGGAGACACUGAGGAGAAAAGAUACAUGAGCCAUAAAGAUGACACCUAUAAAACAUAAUGGGAAGCACUUGGGGAUAGUCCAACCCAAGGUCAAGGAUGUUCUUCCUCUGGAUGUGGAUAGUGUUCUUCCUCAUAAGUCCUCGGAAUUGUCCUGGAUCAUUGUAUUGCUGUUAGUAGCAAAGUCUAUUAUAUUUGAUUGUUCCACAAUGUUUCAUUUACUGUGUACAAUGUUUGCCUGGUUCUGCUUAUUUCACUCCACAUAAUUUCAUGUAGGUCCUUCUGGUUCUUAUAGAAAUCAAUCAUUUCGUCAUUUCUGAUAGCACAGUAGUAUUCCAU
rnacentral:lncRNA from 1 species